rnacentral:tRNA from 1 species
GGUGUAGCUCAGUGGUAGAGCACUUGCCUUGCAUGCAUUAGGCACUGAGUUCAAUCCUCAGCACC